AGAAGUUUUUGAGGAUUUAGGGUUGAAAUUUAUGGGACAAAACCAAGUUAUUCAAGCUUAAAAAGCUUGUUAAUGGAGGAAAACCAUGGAAAAAAAGGGACUUGGGGUUUUGGCCGGCUGGUUGGGGAAGAAAGAGUGAAAUUUUUUUUUCAUUUUCUUUGUUUUUAUGUGUAUUUAAGUUAAUUUUUGACUUGGUCAAAAAUUUGGGAAAAUAAAAUUUAAUUUUGACAUCAUAUGUGAUGUCA
rnacentral:misc_RNA from 1 species